rnacentral:rRNA from 1 species
UACGUAGGCAGCGAGCGUUGUUCGGAGUUACUGGGCGUAAAGAGUGCGUAGGCGGUUUUCUAAGUUUGGUGUGAAAUCUCCCGGCUUAACUGGGAGGGUGCGCCGAAGACUGGAAGGCUUGAGUAUGGGAGAGGUAAGCGGAAUUCCUGGUGUAGCGGUGAAAUGCGCAGAUAUCAGGAAGAACACCAAUGGCGAAAGCAGCUCUCUGGGACGGUACUGACGCUGAGACGCGAAAGCGUGGGGAGCGAACAGG